GGAGCUCAGAACGAGGUUGAUGACACUGAGGUGGGAGUUGGCAGCACCUGAGCUCGCACCUGCGCGGCUCAGUCACGGUGGAGGCGCCACGGAGGUAAGGUUUUUGUCGGCAUGAACUCUUCGUGGGGAGGAUACGAGGCCCUGUCCUGCUCGAAUGAUUAUACGACUGUUCAAACCACGGUUUUCGUCGACACCAGCUCUUCGUAGGGAGGAUACAAGGCCCUGCCCUGUCCGAGAUGGUUCAGCGGUUGUUCCAGCAUCCCGAGACUCGCCGCCACGAAAGAAAGAUUGGUGGCAGUGGAGAUGACAGAAUUCUUGGGCAGGGCAGCAUGACGAGACCAAGAAUCCGCUCAGCAAGAGAGGAAAGCCGUCGUCAGAUGUUACGUACCCGAUGACGCAAGCAAAGGAGGCUGCGGUUGUGUGCAGCACGUCUCCACUCUCUCACCAUACCCACAACCACAACCUCCCAUCCCCCUUGUCAGGUAGUUCACUAUACUUGUAACUUAAAAUAAUGCUGUAUUGGCAUAUUCACUAAUUUUCCAGAACUGGCACAAAAUGUUGAAAAGAUUAUUGCUUAGGGCAGAAAUAAAAAGCCCAAAUGGUCUAAAAAGUUGCC